UACACAUGCAAGUCGGACGGCAGCACAGAGAAGCUUGCUUCUUGGGUGGCGAGUGGCGAACGGGUGAGUAACAUAUCGGAACGUACCGAGCAGUGGGGGAUAACUAAUCGAAAGAUUAGCUAAUACCGCAUAUAUUCUGAGGAAGAAAGCAGGGGACCAUUUGGCCUUGCGCUGUUUGAGCGGCCGAUAUCUGAUUAGCUAGUUGGUGGGGUAAAGGCCUACCAAGGCGACGAUCAGUAGCGGGUCUGAGAGGAUGAUCCGCCACACUGGGACUGAGACACGGCCCAGACUCCUACGGGAGGCAGCAGUGGGGAAUUUUGGACAAUGGGCGCAAGCCCGAUCCAGCCAUGCCGCGUGUCUGAAGAAGGCCUUCGGGUUGUAAAGGACUUUUGUCAGGGAAGAAAAGGGCGGGGUUAAUACCCCUGUCUGAUGACGGUACCUGAAGAAUAAGCACCGGCUAACUACGUGCCAGCAGCCGCGGUAAUACGUAGGGUGCGAGCGUUAAUCGGAAUUACUGGGCGUAAAGCGGGCGCAGACGGUUACUUAAGCAGGAUGUGAAAUCCCCGGGCUCAACCUGGGAACUGCGUUCUGAACUGGGUGACUAGAGUGUGUCAGAGGGAGGUAGAAUUCCACGUGUAGCAGUGAAAUGCGUAGAGAUGUGGAGGAAUACCGAUGGCGAAGGCAGCCUCCUGGGAUAACACUGACGUUCAUGCCCGAAAGCGUGGGUAGCAAACAGGAUUAGAUACCCUGGUAGUCCACGCCCUAAACGAUGUCGAUUAGCUGUUGGGCAGCAUGACUGCUUAGUAGCGAAGCUAACGC
rnacentral:rRNA from 1 species